rnacentral:tRNA from 1 species
GGCCCAUUAGCUUAAUUGGUAGAGCUCCUGACAUGUUAUCAAGGUAAUCUAGGUUCGAUUCCUGGCUUGGUAACCG